GUGAGUGGGAAGGGGACUCGGAAGGAGGUGAUGUGGGAAUGGGUGUGGACAAGCAUAACGUCACUGUUGGUGAAAUCAGUCUGAAGCCCUAACCAGAUGACUUCCAUCUGGGCUGAGCUGGGUCACUGUGAGUCAACAUGCCCGAGUGCUGUGAACGUUAUGAGAGGGCCUUGUUGGGAACACGUGCUCCUGGGAAUCAGCCCUUCCCUCUGUCCUGUUCCCACUCCUCCCCGACGAUGCUCCUGCUCAGAACCCACUCCUCACCUCAGUGAAGCAACGCAGCGGGCACCCUGUGGACAAAGCUGGAUAUUGGCUCUGAAUAAAAGCGAAUCAUGGGGAAAAUCAGUGUCUCAGUAAAAUGGGGUUUUCUUAGUAGAGACCAGACUGUGAAGGACCUUGCUUCAUUCCAUCUUUGAGGAGGAUGAUGAUUCAGGGACAUUGGCCCAAGAUCAAAGUGGUAUUUUUAGGUUGUAUUUACUUAGCUAUUUGCCGUCUACCUCCUUAUUUCCAGGUAGCAACUUCCUUCUUAUAUCUGAGAUGUUUAAGAGAUGAUGAAACCAGCUUGCACACACUUCUCAAAGUGUGUUUGUUCGCAUCCAUUAUUUCACUGGGGACCGGCUAUUAUCCUCUCCAUUUUCUUUAUAAGGAUAUUGAAAGAGAGAUUAAAUAACUUGUUCAAGGCCGCAUAGCUAGUUAACAGCUGAACUAGGCUUAAAACCAACGUCUGAAGGCUCCUAUUCCAGUGGCAGCUGCUGUGUGCUUCUUCUGUUUUCCAUCAGUUUGGAAGGGAGCAUAAAGUCUACAGCCACAUGGGUGGGGUCAGCAGAAAGAUUGACCACCAAGCCUGAGGCAGGUGAGGCUGAUCUCCUGGGCACAGCCUCUCUGCACAGGAGUUCACAGAAGUGAUAUGAUCCAAAGUUGCUGAGGGAAAAGCCCUUAUUUGUGGAAUUAACGGCAGGUCUCUCUUGAGGUCAGAAUGAAUGUUAUUGACAUUAUUGUUUGUAUUGUGGUAAGGUAUACAUAAUGGAAAAUGUACCAUUUUGGCUGGACAUGGUGGCUCACGCCUGUAAU
rnacentral:lncRNA from 10 species